GGGCUUGUAGCUCAGUUGGUCAGAGCACCGCUCUGAUAAGGCGGGGGUCGGUGGUUCGAGUCCACCCAGGCCCACCA
rnacentral:tRNA from 1 species